CUUAAAUUUAGCGCCAUCUUCAACAUCAGGAUUUGUUUGGUAUUUGAUAUAAUUUUUUUUUUUUUUUGAUAAUUGUUUUUUUAAGAACGACAAUUGAAUGCUUGGUACUUAUAAUAAAUUACAAAUAGUUAUUUCCGAUAGGGAAAAAAUUACGGGCUACUCCAUAAAAAUACACAGACAGUGUCAUCUUCAUAUGGGUCUGAACUUGAAAAAUAAAAAAUUUUUCUCAGGACUUUUGGGGUUUCUCCUACCAGAGAACAUUAUAAUGAACAAAAAAACAUUCAUACUGAGCAAUUAUAGAAUUCAAAUCGUCCGAAAUCUACAGCCGGUAUUAGACAACGAAAUGAAAGCAAACUUUUGCUAAGCAUUCUAUCUGGGAGACUUUGAAGAGUGUACAUUGAUCUAGAAAAAAAUAUUUUUGGUUUCAUCCUAGAAAAAAUAUCAAAGAUGGGCAUAAAAUUUUGAAAAGUCUUUGAUAUGCAUUUUUAGUAUUAUGAUAUAUAAAUUAUCAAUAAUUUCCAAGCAUUCUUGUUUUAUAUUUGAAUAAAAUACUGUACCUCACACAAUUUCAAAUAAAAUUU